AGUCGAGCGACAGAUGAGAAGCUUGCUUCUCUGAUGUUAGCGGCGGACGGGUGAGUAACACGUGGGUAACCUACCUAUGAGACUGGGAUAACUCCGGGAAACCGGGGCUAAUACCGGAUAAUAUUUUGAACCGCAUGGUUCAAUAGUGAAAGACGGUUUCGGCUGUCACUUAUAGAUGGACCCGCGCCGUAUUAGCUAGUUGGUAAGGUAACGGCUUACCAAGGCGACGAUACGUAGCCGACCUGAGAGGGUGAUCGGCCACACUGGAACUGAGACACGGUCCAGACUCCUACGGGAGGCAGCAGUAGGGAAUCUUCCGCAAUGGGCGAAAGCCUGACGGAGCAACGCCGCGUGAGUGAUGAAGGUCUUCGGAUCGUAAAACUCUGUUGUUAGGGAAGAACAAAUUUGUUAGUAACUGAACAAGUCUUGACGGUACCUAACCAGAAAGCCACGGCUAACCACGUGCCAGCAGCCGCGGUAAUACGUAGGUGGCAAGCGUUAUCCGGAAUUAUUGGGCGUAAAGCGCGCGUAGGCGGUUUCUUAAGUCUGAUGUGAAAGCCCACGG
rnacentral:rRNA from 1 species